rnacentral:tRNA from 1 species
AAGGUUUUAUCUUAAUAAAAGAGUUUGAGUUGCAUUCAUAUAAUGUGGGUUAGAACCCCACAAACCUUA